UGGGCUAUAGCCAAGUGGUAAGGCAGCGGAUUUUGAUUCCGUCAUUCGUUGGUUCGAAUCCAGCUAGCCCAG
rnacentral:tRNA from 1 species